AGGGGUAGAGCUCAAUAGUAGAGCACUUGCCUAGCAUGCACGAGGCCCUGGGUUUAAUUCCUAGUGUUUCCA
rnacentral:tRNA from 1 species